CCCUUAGAUGUUCUGGGCCGCACGCGCGCUACACUGACGAAUGCAACGAGCUUAUAACCUUGGCCGAAAUGUCUGGGUAAUCUCCAAAUUUCGUCGUGAUGGGGAUAGAUUAUUGCAAUUAUUAAUCUUCAACGAGGAAUGCCUAGUAAGCGCAAGUCAUCAGCUUGCGUUGAUUACGUCCCUGCCCUUUGUACACACCGCCCGUCGCUCCUACCGAUUGAAUGGUCCGGUGAAGCGUUCGGACCGUGGCCUUUGGACGGUUCGCCGUCUGUUGGCUGCGGGAAGUUCGUUAAACCUUAUCAUUUAGAGGAAGGAGAANUCGUAACA
rnacentral:rRNA from 1 species